UGCAACCCAUGACAAUCACAAGCAGGCAAAUAAAUUAAAAGUUAGGUAUGUUAUUAUAUAUUUGUGAUGUUUAUUUUAAAAUGUUACAAAGUAGAAAAUCGAAACAUCAGCAGAAACCUAAAAGAAUUUGUGUCUCUCUAAUUGAAUUAUAUAUGAUUUAUAACCCAAAAGAUUUUGAUGCUACUGAAACAAACAAUGUUUUUGUCUUCGCCUUGCAACAUCAUUCAGUUAAACUUCAACCAUUGAGUGAGAGCAACCGGAGAUUUUUUGAAUUCUACUGAAACAAAUUUUCUGCUAUGUUCUUCCCCUUAGAUUUGGGUUGCUUUUCACACCUGAUAAUUAAGAUCGACGGUGGAGAAGACAAAGGAGACCCUAAUUUAAAAUAGUUAUUUAUCUUGCAUGCUCUAUCUAAAAGAAGUAAUUGAUUAAGUUCAUUUUAUUCGAAUUAAGUUUUUGGUUUUACAUUGUUUUGUAUUUUAUUUAGUUGUAGUAGAACUAACGUGUUUCAUUAUUUAUUUUUUAGUAAUGGUAGUCUAACAUGUUUCUUGCUUACCUCUUUGCUUAGCUUACUGCACAUUCUUACUAUUUUGCUUCGCAUUUACCCCAAGCCUUCUAUAAGAUUCAAUGUUUCCUUAUAGUGUUGUAUUCUCUUCUCAGCCUUGUGGGAGGAGAGAGGGCCGCCUCGAACAAGUCCCCUUGGCCUUGGCUUUUUAGUUGUUCUUAAAAGUGUCUCAUACACUUUUCGCGAGUCACUCUAGCGUUACUUCCUUUCAGGCAGGGUACAGUGGGUUAUCUGGAAUAGGAGCAAUAGGCGACUGCCCAGCUUGCCCUGGCGAAAUCUGUCCGAUCUUGUGUACCAAAACUAUUAGUAUUUGCCGUUAGUCCUGUUAAUUUGCACUAGUUUCUUUCAGAUAAUGAGGUAUUCUCUAAGAAGAAAGAAGACAUCGUAUUUUUUGCUUUUUAUUGUAUUUUCCUUGAAAUUUCAUUUAUUUUCUUGUCUUUCUUUUACAGGUACUAUGUACUUUACUGUAUAAACUGUUAUAUUUUUAAAAUCCUAACCUGGGUUGAUAUUUAAAAUGUUUCUAUACUGAUUUUUUGGUAUAAUUGUUAAAAUAUUUGUUAACGCUUUCAAAAUUAAUAUUCGUUUGGGUGGAUAGGGUGGGUAAAGAGGUGAUGCGGAGGUCACAGAGGGUUAGGGGGGCUCUUUUCUCUCUAAUCUUGCAUUUCAAUAAUAAUAAUAUGACAGUUCAUGUAUUAUUUCUUAAAUAUUUUGUUUGUAUUAAUGUAUUAUUAUUUGAAGUCCCUAUCUGUUGAUAUUCAUACGUUGUUUUUAAUAUAAAUGCUAUUAAUUUGCAACAAUAAAUGUGUUAUUGAACAUAUUUUAUUUCAUGUAAUUAUGUAUUCAGUCAUAAAAAAGGAUGUAAAGAAAUUAUACAACUUCGGUACAACCCUUA